rnacentral:rRNA from 1 species
CUACGGGUGGCACCAGUGGGGAAUAUUGCACAAUGGAGGAAACUCUGAUGCAGCAACGCCGCGUGGAGGAUGACACUUUUCGGAGCGUAAACUCCUCUUAUAUAGGAAGAAGAUGACGGUACUAUAUGAAUAAGCGCCGGCUAACUCCGUGCCAGCAGCCGCGGUAAUACGGAGGGCGCAAGCGUUACUCGGAAUCACUGGGCGUAAAGAGCGUGUAGGCGGAUUAAAAAGUCAGAAGUGAAAUCCUAUAGCUUAACUAUAGAACUGCUUCUGAAACUCUUAAUCUAGAAUAUGGGAGAGGUAGAUGGAAUUUCUGGUGUAGGGGUAAAAUCCGAAGAGAUCAGAAGGAAUACCGAUUGCGAAGGCGAUCUACUAGAACAUUAUUGACGCUGAGACGCGAAAGCGUGGGGAGCAAACAGGAUUAGAUACCCUAGUAGUC